UACCUUGUUGCUUCGGCGGGCCCGCCUUAACUGGCCGCCGGGGGGCUUACGCCCCCGGGCCCGCGCCCGCCGAAGACACCCUCGAACUCUGUCUGAAGAUUGUAGUCUGAGUGAAAAUAUAAAUUAUUUAAAACUUUCAACAACGGAUCUCUUGGUUCCGGCAUCGAUGAAGAACGCAGCGAAAUGCGAUACGUAAUGUGAAUUGCAAAUUCAGUGAAUCAUCGAGUCUUUGAACGCACAUUGCGCCCCCUGGUAUUCCGGGGGGCAUGCCUGUCCGAGCGUCAUUUCUGCCCUCAAGCACGGCUUGUGUGUUGGGCCCCGUCCUCCGAUCCCGGGGGACGGGCCCGAAAGGCAGCGGCGGCACCGCGUCCGGUCCUCGAGCGUAUGGGGCUUUGUCACCCGCUCUGUAGGCCCGGCCGGCGCUUGCCGAUCAACCCAAAUUUUUAUCCAGGUUGACCUCGGAU
rnacentral:rRNA from 1 species